GCAGGGAUUUCCGAGUGGUCAAUACCCAGCAUUGGUUGGCUAUAGGAGCUGGGCUUAGGACCCAGUGGCGUAGGCCUUCGCGUGUUCGAAUCACGCUCCCUGCACCA
rnacentral:tRNA from 1 species